GGGUUGCCAGGAGGGAGCGUGUGCCGCUGUGGGCACUGUGUCCUCUGAGUUCCGGAGCUGGACCAGAGAGGAUGUGCUGUCUUAUUUAAAGGGCUGAUUACUGGAUUCCUAAAUGGGGAAAGAAAGCUCUGGGGAACAGGGUCUCUGGCCCUCCAGGGAUUUCACCACAGGAUUCUGACUGCUGCCAUUUUAGAGUUCUGGUUCUAUCAGGAACAGAGUUUGAAUUAAACAGCAAUUGCUCUUUAACGACCUUGGAGCACCUUUUGCCACAAGUGUAUGGACCAAUACAGCCCAGAUCUACCUACAUGUAGAGAGCUACAUGUAAAGACCUACUGAGGCUUCCGUGUCACAUACUGUCCUGGAUCUCUCUCUCCCCUGAUCUCCUAUUGUGCUCAAGAUGUCCUAUUAGCCAAGACAAGCACAUGACCAUAGAUGCUCCUCAAGUUAUGAUGAAGUUACAUCCUCAUAAGCCCGUCAUAAGUUCAAAAUAUUGUGCAGCCUCGUGACAGUUGUCUGGAGAAGUUUCUUGGAAAUUUAUGAGACUUUCAAAACACAAACUGCUCGGAGCCGAGCCGACCUGCUGGAGACUGGGAGAAUCAGAGGCAGGUCUGACCUGGAGCCCAACAACAUGACGACCCCGGUCCUUGCACAUGGAGUGGCUCCUGCCAGUGGGGCUCACCAGCAGCACUGACCUUCCAGGUUGCCCCCAGGUUAGCAGGAGCAGGUUGCUCCAAAAGAUAAAUGUCCCUCUCAGGCUGGGGAUUUAGCUCAGUGGUUCCGCCACCUGCCUCGCAAGUGGAAGGUCCGGAGUUCGAUCCCCAGUACCAAAAAAAAAAAGAAAAGUGUUCCUCUCCUCCUGGGAAGAAGGGAGGUCAGAGACCAUAAUUAGAAUAACAAUGCAUGCUCCUUUCUUCCUUGUUUCCUUCUACAGUUCUGUAUUUGAGCAGACCCCUCCCCAAAGCCCUAUCAAGCUAUCUGUAAAGAAAUUGAUUAAACAGUUUAAGAGCUGGC
rnacentral:lncRNA from 1 species